GAGAGUUUGAUUCUGGCUCAGGACGAACGCUGGCGGCGUGCCUAAUACAUGCAAGUAGAACGCUGAAGAAAGGAGCUUGCUUCUUUUGGAUGAGUUGCGAACGGGUGAGUAACGCGUAGGUAACCUGCCUUGUAGCGGGGGAUAACUAUUGGAAACGAUAGCUAAUACCGCAUAACAGCUUUUGACACAUGUUAGAAGCUUGAAAGAUGCAAUUGCAUCACUACGAGAUGGACCUGCGUUGUAUUAGCUAGUAGGUAGGGUAACGGCCUACCUAGGCGACGAUACAUAGCCGACCUGAGAGGGUGAUCGGCCACACUGGGACUGAGACACGGCCCAGACUCCUACGGGAGGCAGCAGUAGGGAAUCUUCGGCAAUGGGGGCAACCCUGACCGAGCAACGCCGCGUGAGUGAAGAAGGUUUUCGGAUCGUAAAGCUCUGUUGUAAGAGAAGAACGUGUGUGAGAGUGGAAAGUUCACACAGUGACGGUAACUUACCAGAAAGGGACGGCUAACU
rnacentral:rRNA from 1 species